rnacentral:lncRNA from 1 species
CCUUAACAAACAAUUCAGAUUAGAUAAGCAAAUCUAAUUGUACUAGGGAAUCUGAAAGUAAGUGUUUUAACAAAGUUAUACAUGCUAGGAUCAUAACCCCUAAAACUAAGAGUCGUGUUCCAAAGGAAAGCUUCUAAUCUCACCAUUGCAAAUAAUCAAAUCCUAAAUAUUCAUACACAUGUUAAGAAUCUGCUAAAGACACAUGCACAAGAUUAUCAUCAAUCCUAGUUACCAGAACAGUGAUCUAGCAUACUAGUUUAACAUUAUCUAUUGUGAUGCUAUCAUGCUUGUGCUUGUGUGUUAAACAAUUCUACUCAGAGAUUUAUAACAUGCUUUGAAUAUAAUGAAAUAAGUAUUGCAAAGUUAGAAAGAAUUCAUACCUGAGAUGUGCAAAGUGA